rnacentral:rRNA from 1 species
GCCGGCAGCUAGCUCUCUGCAACUCUCACAUGGUUGCCCACUGAAGCUAAGCAGGGCUGUGCCCGGUGAGUACUUGGAUGGGAGACCACAUGGGAAACCUAGGUUGCUGCCGAAA